GGAACUGUAGCUCAGUUGGUAGAGCGUCGGUCUGAAAAACCGAAGGUCAUAGGUUCAAUCCCUAUUGGUUCCA
rnacentral:tRNA from 1 species